rnacentral:rRNA from 1 species
CCUACGGGGCGCAGCAGUCGGGAAUAUUGCACAAUGGAGGAAACUCUGAUGCAGUGACGCCGCGUGCAGGAAGAAGGUUUUCGGAUUGUAAACUGCUUUAGAUAGGGAAGAUAAAAGACUGUACCUAUAGAAUAAGCUCCGGCUAACUACGUGCCAGCAGCCGCGGUAAUACGUAGGGAGCAAGCGUUAUCCGGAUUUAUUGGGUGUAAAGGGUGCGUAGACGGGCUAACAAGUUAGUUGUGAAAUCCCUCGGCUCAACUGAGGAACUGCAACUAAAACUAUUAGUCUUGAGUGCGGGAGAGGAA